rnacentral:rRNA from 1 species
UACAGAGGCUACGAGCGUUAGGCGGAAUCACUGGGCUUAAAGCGUGUGUAGGUGGAUUGGUAAGUAUCUUGUGAAAUCCCACAGCUCAACUGUGGAACUGCUGGAUAUACUGCCAGUCUUGAGGCACUCAGGGGCGAGCGGAACAGAUGGUGGAGCGGUGAAAUGCAUAGAUAUCAUCUGGAACGCCAAUGGUGAAGACAGCUCGCUGGGGGUGUACUGACACUGAGACACGAAAGCCAGAGGAGCAAACGGG